rnacentral:piRNA from 1 species
UCAGAGCUGAUUUCGUGCAUAUUCUGGA